AAGUGUAGGUUAGGCUCAUAAGGGUUAAGCCUAUUGUUUUCAAAGAUGUCCGCAAUAUAUUUAGGGUUGAAAUGAACCAACAACUAAAAAUGUUCCCGAUUUUGUAGCCGUUACAAAGGCCACAAAUAUAAUCCAAAGGACACGAAAUCUCCAUGAAGUUAGAGUUUAGGACAGCGGGUUGAAUGGACCACUAUUUUUGUGUGAAAAAAUACCAUACAAAUAUCGUAGACAAGCAAAUCAUAUAGAUGAGUCUAAAUUUGGAGAUACAGAGGAGCCUCUUGCUUUUGGAGAUGAACGCAAAAUAGUUAGGGGUUCAAAUGAACCAAAAAGAGAAACUAAUUCCUGAUCACACAAUUGAAGCCAAUCGAUACGCCUGAGAAACGCGAUAUCUUCCAAAAUGGAUUUGGACAUAAGGGGGCUUCUAACAUAUUGUAGUGUAUCACAUGGUCGGCCCCGCACGACUUUGUUUACUUGUUUUAUUUAAAAUAGAAUAAAACUGACAUUUUCACCAACUUCUUGUUUCUUUUUGUUUGCCUUUUUUCGCACAAAAAUCACUACAUACUUUGUUUUCGAUAGCAUACUACUUAUCGUGUACAACUUCGAGUGAAAAAAAAUUCGAUAACGACUGCGGUGAUCCGCGUAAACUACAUUACGAUGCUGAAGUACUCGAUUUCGACUGCGGUGAUUUGGCCCCAGAAUGGUCUGUCACAAAAUCUGCCAAGAUAAUUUUUUGCUGGAAGUUUAUUUUGUUUGAGUUUGACCUACAAAAUUUGAAAUCAUAAUAAUUUUUCAAUUAUUUAAUAUUUUUAAAGAAAUUUACAUUUUGUUUUUGAAUUAAUGCACAAAUUAUGCUCCAAUCAGAAUUAUUACACUUUAAAUUGUCGUAUACGAUACAAAAAUAGACGCGGGCAAAAACUCGAGUGGUUGCAUUCAACACUUCCAUGUCAAGUACUCGAUAUCGAACACCGUCAUCCAAAAAUAAGAUUACGAUAUCAUAACUUCUCAAUAUCGUAUGCGAUAAUUAGACCCCAGAUUUCAAUAUAAUUAAGCAAAAAAUUUGUUAGAAAAUUCCAUCACACAUUCCAAAUUUCAUUAAAAUGUGGCGUACACAGCGUGUUUAAUGCAUCAAAUACAUGAAAUCGGCCAAAAAUAUGUAUGGGAGCUAUAUCCAAAUCUGAACCGAUUUCAAUAUAAUUUGGCAUUUUUUUCCAAACACCGUCACGCAUUCCAAAUUUAGACUCUGUGUCUGUAAUCGAUCUGUAGAUAUGUGCAUAUAAAAUCUAAAUUUUUGGGAGGUACCUCCGAUUCUGAUGCUACAUCUCCAGUUCCAAGUGGAAUUUCAAAAAUGUAUAUAGCCUAUGUUACUUUCAGGCGAUGAUGUAGUAUACUUGGAAAUUUUCGGGCAAAUCUGUUCAGCGAUUUUCCAGUCCAUAAAUUACAAACAAACAUACAAACAUUUUCCUCUUUUAUAGAUGUAGCUUAAAAAUUUAAAAAACUAAAAAUUGAACUUCACCGUUCACCGCUAUGGAGUUUAGCCGCACCAGUUUGCUGGACUCAUCAAAUUGUUUUAAUAUGUUGGCAGUUGCGUCUAAGAAAAGAGUGUUUCUGUUUUUUCUUUAUACACUUUGUACAAAUCUAUUACAUUGUGGCUGUCCCUACACAGGUCGGUCAUGUUUUGCUCGAACUUCAACAUUGUAGUAGCACCCUGUGUUAGCAGUUCCUAGUUGUUAACUACAUCCCUCAUCCUAUUACCUACAUCCCUACUUUGGGCAUAUAAUUUUUGAUUCUUCCAAUGGAUUGCUUUUAUAUUAAAAAUUUCUAUUUGACGGUAUCUCUACGUACACCUCUAAUUUGUUGUUUUUUUUUUUAUAAAUGUAAGUCGCCAUUGUUUGUCUUGGGUAGCAAACACGAUUCGAAAACAAUUAACUGUACAAUUGUAUUUGGAACACCCGUAUGUAAAAUGUACACAUUUUGCGUAAAAUUAAAUACUUUUCUUGAAGACUGUUUUUGGAUAAUAGCUAGACACAUUGUUCUAAUAAUUGUGGACGUUUUUCCAUCAUUUUUUCCUAUGGGUUGGAUAGGAGAUGCAAUUUUAAUUGGUAUAUUAUGCAAUUUUUCAAGUAGCGAUUUAGAUAGUGUUUCAGUAUCAAAUAAUAUCCACUGGAUUUAUGAACACGAUUUACCUGACUUAUACACAGUGAAAUUGACAUUAAAAUCGAGUGGAUUUAGUAGUCUAAACGUGCUCUCAUUGUGCCAUGGUAGAAGGUAUAUUACCAUUGACAAUCAAAUGUGUUACUUGACUUUCUUCUGAAAAAAAAAAAUAAACAUUUUAGCUCAUUAGUAUUAAAUUAAUAAAUAAUGUAUUAUUUUUACUUAUUUCUUUAAACCGUCGUUUACACAAGACAAAUUGUAUUUUAUUCUUUUUUUUAUUUUCUUCCUCUCUGUCUAGCUUUUUUUCAAAGACAACCAAUUAAUUAACUUAGUAAAUACUUUCGGGAGAGCGAAAACGAUUUUUCUCUGUUCCAGAACCAGCAACAAUCUACUAGUUCUGCAAUUUUUCGAUAUCGUAAAAGAAAAUUGGUUUUCAUUAUUGCAUGUUCUGGAACAGAGCAAACAUUAAGGGUAACCCGAAAGCAUGUUUUGUAGCUUAUUGAAAAAGCAACAAAACAAACGAACAGGAUUUGCCGAAAAUCUCUUUCCAGUAAACUCUCAGCCAUGGUAGAAUUAAGAAGAGAUGGGAACCGCUUUUAUAGGCAGUGAAAUUUGACAAACAUAAAAUUUCUUUGAUACAAUAGUCCGUCCCGGUGGCGGCAAGGAUGGAUUGUGGAAAGCGCACUAUUGGGAAGAACCUUGCCCUCAAAACCAAAAGCAGGGCCAUCAAUUCACUCAACAGACACCGGAUGAUCUCAGAAUAGCGGUCAUUAAUCAGGCGGCCGUUAAAGCUAUUAAGCCAAGUGCCCUCAUUGAGAAAUACGUGAUUUCAUUAAGCUUUGUUGGGUUCCAGGACAUAGCAAAAUACUGGGAAAUGAAGUGGCUGAUGAAUUAACUCGAGGAGAUUCCCAUUGAUCUAUCGGUUGAUGAAACUGUUAAACCGGUUAAAGCUAUUAUAUCAGCUGCUUCAAAAAAAUCUCUAAUCUGGCCGGUACUCUCGAGAGGAAGAACAAGCUCCCUUCUUUCACUUAGUAGGUCUGGGGCCAAAUCAACGCAUUCGUCAUCGAGUUCUGUUUCGCAUAGAAAAACAUUUCGAUCGCUGUAAAUUUUCGAUCGCAAUUUAUUUUGUCUACUGUUUUUUUUACAUUGCUGUAAACAUAUGGCAAACAGAAAUUGGAAGCGAAAGAGAAUUUCAAAAUAAGUUUUUGCAACCAAAAUAUGUUAUUGCUGAGAAAUUUAUAUUGUUUCUGUGUGUUUAAAUACAUGUGUACAAAUAUAUUAUGAAUGCAAGUGUUUUUUUGUUUUCCUCGUCUUCGAAUUCAAAGCAUGAGUACACAGUGGCAUUAAUAAGGAAAAAUAUUCGUAACAAAUUCAGUCCUUUAACAUUGCCUGAAGUAGUGUAAGUGAUUCUAUUUAAAAUAGAAUAAAACUGACACUUUCACUAACUUCUUGUUUCUUUUUGUUAGCCUUUUUUCCGAACAAAAAUCACUACAUACUUUGUUUUCGAUAGCAUACUACAUACCGUGUACAACUUCGAGUAAAAACAAUUCGAUAACGACUGCGGUGACCCGCGUAAACUACAUUGCGAUGCUGAAGUACUCGAUUUCGAGUGCGGUGAUUUGGCCCCUGGUCUAAGAAUCGCGGAUGGCAUACUGACCUGAAACUGCAGUAUCAGAUAUCUGAUCAAGAUGGCACAACAGACUUCCUGACUACUGUAGACUAUGUGAAGAUGAAGAAGAAAUAGAGACGAUUGGACACCUACUAUGCAGAUGUCUCAUGUUAUUCAACAAGUGACAUCGGCUAUUGGUAGGUGGGAGAUAGAAACACUAAAGUUCAUUUCAAACGUAAAUCCCAUCAUCAGUUUGCCAAAAACUUUUGCUUGUUUUCGAAACACAACUAAAAAAAAUAGUUGACGCCAUUUUUUUCCUCAGAAACCACCCACACUCAACUCAAAUAAGGUAUUCUUGAAAAGAAAAGAAAAAAGGAUAAACACAUACACAUGGAACCAUUAAUAUUUUUGAAUAUCAAUUAAUAAAUGACAACAUGUUUAUUUUUUGUUUUAAGUAUUUUCAUUUUUGUAGGAAUUAAGAUUGUAAGGAAAAUUAAAAGAACAAAAUAUGUA